rnacentral:rRNA from 1 species
UACGUAGGGGGCUAGCGUUGUCCGGAUUUAUUGGGCGUAAAGAGCGUGUAGGCGGCCAGGUAGGUCUGGUGUGAAAACUCGAGGCUUAACCUCGAGAUGUCAUCGGAAACCAUCUGGCUAGAGUCCGGAAGAGGAGAGUGGAAUUCCUGGUGUAGCGGUGAAAUGCGCAGAUAUCAGGAAGAACACCCGUGGCGAAGGCGGUUCUCUGGAACGCAACUGACGCUGAGACGCGAAAGCGUGGGGAGCAAACAGG